UGCUCGAUGCAGCCCCCUCUCACAGGCUCCAUCCUUGUGGUCCGGCCCUGCCCGAGCUUGGGUGGCAAAGCCUGUGUCUGGGGGUAUCUUACAAGCAGCAGAAAAAAAAACGAAUAUUCCUCUCUGCUGCUGGAGUUCAUCACACGGCUUCUCAGCCCCAGGGAAAGAUGUCUGCAAUGCUGGAGGAGAGAAAUGAUAUUGCUGAGUUUCUCACAAGGGGAAAAGUGCUGAAGGAUGUCAAGGUUCCCCGUGGGGCAGCACCGCUUUCCCCCUGCUGACACCAUCCUGUGCCUCUGCAGGUGCCGUGGCACCCGAUGCCAGCCCGAUGGCCCCGUGGCAGCGGUCUGAGACACCGGAUCUCCUCCCAGCCAAAACAGCGGCUUUCCCAGCCCUGAACUGGGAGCCACCCGCUGCCAGUGAGUGGCAAUUUGGUUAAAGGAGGCAGAAAAGCUUCUCUGGCCACCAGCUGGGACUGAUUCCCAAACCUCUCCACCAGCAGCAAGCUGUUUCCAGCAGCUGUGCUCAAUGCUGCUGCUGGUCCCUUACCUGCCUGUCUGCACAGGUUUAGGCAUUUGUGCCUGAAUUUGCGUGUUUUGGCUUGAGAGAGCUUGCCACACACACGCACGACCUCCUGGACCUUUCUUGUUUGGCAGCCUGUGAAAAAAUCCAUGCUAAGCCAGUCCAGCGCAAGCGCUGAUUUAUUUGUGCUGGAAGGGGACAUGCUUCUCUGUCCUAACACCAGAUGCCCAAAAUAUGUUAAAUCAACCCCCAGAAUAGAAACCCCCUCUGAUUUUUUUCCCCCUCUCUUUGUCCCUUUGGCAGGAUAAGGCUGGAGGCUGCAGGGAGGGCUGCUGAGAGCUGCCUUUUGGGGGAGCUGGGUGGCUCUGUGGGAUGUUCUGCCCAGUGCCUGCGUCCCCGUGCCCCGCAGCAUCAGGGCAGGGGCGCCUUUGUGUGGGAUACCAGCAGAUUUAGGACAUAAUAAACUGUAUUUAAAAGUUA